GUGGUGGCCUGGCAGCACGGUUCAUUGUUGUUGGCUGUUUUAUUGUAAAUUUUGUUAUCAGGCGUUGCAGACGUACCCGGUUGUAGCGCGGCUGCUUGAAUAACAAUUUUCGAAGCGAAAACAAACAGCCAAAAGUUGUUACGAUUUAUUGCAAUUGCCAAAUUGAAUAUAACGCUUUUAAGCAAUGAUGUUGCUAGAACAUAUGACAAACAUAGCGGUAAACGCGUUGAGACAUGGCAUCAAUGUAAAUUGCGCGGGUUUAAUUUAAAAAUUAUGAAUUGAAUAAUUGCAGCCAGUACAAGUACAAGUAUUAAAGCUGUUAUUAUUAUUGUUAAAUUCAAAUAAUAAUUGUGCAAUGCGAGUGUAAAUGACUGUUGUGAAUUUGUUUGUUUUUUUGUUAUUGUGCUCGUGCUGCGCUACGCCCUAAAAGGGUGUGUGCUAAAAAAAAUCAUACUGCGCCCAGGACCAGGAAGAGGAGUAACAACGACGACUGAAGCAAGACGAGUUGAGAGGAGAGUGGGAGUAAAAACAGAUUUUUCUAUUUCUAUUGCGCGGUGCCAAAGUAAAAAGCUAAACAGCAACUGUCAGCAAUUAAGAAGAAGAAGACGCCCAGCAACUUAAAGCCAAAGAUUGAUGACUAACAAUAACGAACUAAGAAAUUACAAACAUGCCCCAUUGUUUGUCUAAAUGAGCCAGAUACGCAAAGUACAACUACGGAAAUAUUGCAAACUUCGCCG